AUGACAUCACGCUGGUCAAAGAGGCGGAAAAUUAAAUCAAUGGUUAGGGCCACAGAGUCAGAAAUCCUGCAGCAGUUUCAGAAAACCUUUACUGAUCCCAACAUGCAAGGCCACUCUGUCGCAGAACUGGAACAUGUUAAAUGCCCAAGUGUAGCAUUGGAGUCUGGUGUUUCAGUCUCUAGCCACUCAGUUGUGGACCAACCAGGUAUAGGGGAACAUGAGCAGAGGUCAGCAUUCAGUGAGACCCAUGUGUCAUUGGACAGUGUUCAUGACUGUCCAUCAGCUAGGCCUGUUGAUUCAGAAUCAGAUGAUGCUGAUGCUGAAGCUCCAACAUCAGAGUUAGUGACGAGUCUGAGAUUUUGGGCCUCUUCCUUUUCUGUCUCACUAGCAGCAUUGACUGCACUCUUGAGCAUUUUGCGAGUGUUUCACCCAGAAUUGCCAAGAGAUGCUCGGACAAUUCUCAAGACACAAGGUGAAAUAAAAACUAAGAAAAUGGAGGGUGGGGAAUAUUACCACUUUGGCCUAGCCACAGGAUUGAUGUCAAAACUUAAUUCUUUGAAGCUGCCUGCUAGUUUGACCACAAUUAAGCUGCAGUUUAGUAUAGAUGGUUUACCACUAUUCAGAAGCAGCAGAACUCAGUUUUGGCCCAUUCUGGCAACCAUUAAUGCUGAUUACAGCAAAUCGCCAUUCCUUGUCGGCCUCUUCUGUGGCUUUACCAAACCAAAGAGUGUCUUUGAGUUCUUGGGCCCAUUUAUUGAGGACCUUAGUUGCAUUCUAAAAAAUGGCAUUUGUUACAAUGGGCAGCAGAUAAUGGCAGAAGUGUGCUCGUUUAUAUGUGAUGCACCAGCACGAGCCUUUAUUAAAAAUGUAAAAAGCCACAAUGGUUAUUCGGGCUGCGACAAGUGUUUCCAAGUGGGUGAAUGGCACAACAAGAUGACAUAUCCGGAAAUCAAUGUUAGAUUGAGGACAGACACAGACUUCAACUCUAUGACUGAUGAUGAACACCACCUAAAGCAAACACUGUCCCCACUAGCUAGUCUGGUCAAAAUGGUGACAAUGUUCCCAUUAGAUUACAUGCACUUGUGCUGUCUUGGGGUAACCAGGAAAUUGCUAUAUAUUUGGAUGAGGGGCAAAUCACUGGCAACUAGGUUGUCCAGUAAAUCAAUCGAAGAGAUCUCAGUUAAAUUGAAGGGACUAGGACCUUACACUCCUUCUGAGUUCAGCCGGAAACCCAGGCACCUCUCUGAAAUAGAUCGGUGGAAGGCUACAGAGCUUCGAUAUUUCAUGCUUUAUGCUGGCCCAGUAGUCCUGAAAAAUACCAUUGCCCUUGAAAUUUAUGAAAACUUUAUGUUACUUUCUGUGGCCAUGCAUCUGCUGUUGUCUUCUGGGACAUCAGAGGAAUUGAUUGAUUGCGCUCAGGGAUUGUUGACAUCAUUUGUAACUCACUUUGGGCAGCUAUAUGGGAAAGGUGAAAUUACCUACAAUGUCCAUCAGCUGACACACUUGGCGUCAGAAUACCGUCUGUUUGGUCCCUUGGACAACAUAUCUGCAUUUCCGUAUGAGAAUUAUUUAGCACAACUGAAGCGCCUAUUGCGCAAGCCUCACUUGCCUUUACAGCAAGUAGUAAAAAGGCUCUCAGAAUCACCUGCACCGACCUCGGACACUGUGAAGAAAGAUCAAAAAUUCAUGCAUCCUCAUUAUGAUGGUCCGUUGAUUUCUUCAUUGAGCUAUGGAGAUCAGUACCGUAAGCUUGUUACGGAAAAGUACACAUUAUCAUCUAGUUCUGGGGAUAACUGCUUUCAAAUUGUAAAUGACAUUACCAUUGUUGAAAACAUUGUCAGAGUAGUUCAGGAGACUUACAUCAUUUUUCGAAAGUUUACCAAGAAGGAGUCCUAUGGCCAGUAUCCCUUUCCAUCUGCAAACAUUGGGGUAUAUACAGUUUGGGGGUUGAGCAAGAAUGUCAGUGUGACGAGGCUUCAGCACAUUGGCAAAAAGUACAUACUUUACCCUGACAAAACACAGUUCAUCGCCAUUCCCAUCAUUCAUACCAAUUAA
rnacentral:lncRNA from 1 species